rnacentral:rRNA from 1 species
GUAGUCUCGCACAGAUGCAUAUCAAUAAGCGGAGGAAAAGAAACUAACAAGGAUUCCCCUAGUAACGGCGAGUGAAGCGGGAAGAGCUCAAAUUUGAAAUCUUAAAGGGUUUCCCUUUACGAAUUGUAGUUUAAAGAAGUGUUUUCUGUUGAGGUUUUGGUAAAAGUUCUUUGGAAUAGGACAUCAUAGAGGGUGAGAAUCCCGUAUUUGACCUUUACUUUCAACUUUGUGAUACACUUUCAAAGAGUCGGAUUGUUUGGGAAUGCAGUCCAAAAUGGGUGGUAAAUUUCAUCUAAAGCUAAAUAUUGGCGAGAGACCGAUAGCGAACAAGUACCGUGAGGGAAAGAUGAAAAGAACUUUGAAAAGAGAGUUAAACAGUACGUGAAAUUGUCAAAAGGGAAGCGUUUGACACCAGUGUUGUUCUUCUGAAAAUCAAUUAAAGAACUGUUUAUGCUAAGUUGUUUAGACUUUAUCAGCUAUCUGUUUAGUUUUGAGCUUUUCUUUAAUGCACUUUUCAGUUAACAAGUCAACAUCAAUUUCUUUUGCUGUAAAAAAGCUUGAGGAAGGUGGCUUGAGAUUCGUCUUAAGUGUUUAUAGCCUCUUGCCUAUGCAGUCGGAGAGAUUGAGGUCUGCAGCGUAGAUCCUUCGGGGCUAAAUGCAUUUGUGCUAAGUUAUAACAUUUUAUAGACAACUUGUUGACUAUGAUUUGUCUUGUAGCUUACUCGCUUAUGUUAUUUUACCUACGCUUAGGAUGUUGAUCUGUAGUGCGUGCGC